rnacentral:tRNA from 1 species
AGCGCCAUCGCCAAAUGGUAAGGCAUGGGACUUUGACUCCCAUAUCGUUGGUUCGAUUCCAGCUGGCGCUG